rnacentral:rRNA from 1 species
UACGUAGGGGGCAAGCGUUGUCCGGAAUCAUUGGGCGUAAAGAGCGCGUAGGCGGUCCGGUAAGUCCGCUGUGAAAGUCAAGGGCUCAACCCUUGAAUGCCGGUGGAUACUGUCGGGCUAGAGUCCGGAAGAGGCGAGUGGAAUUCCUGGUGUAGCGGUGAAAUGCGCAGAUAUCGGGAGGAACACCAAUGGCGAAGGCAGCUCGCUGGGACGGUACUGACGCUGAGGCGCGAAAGCGUGGGGAGCAAACAGG